GACGUAGGGCGCGAGCGUUGUCCGGAUUUAUUGGGCGUAAAGAGCUUGUAGGCGGUUUGUCGCGUCUGCUGUGAAAUUUCGGGGCUCAACCCCGAACUUGCAGUGGGUACGGGCAGACUAGAGUGUGGUAGGGGAGACUGGAAUUCCUGGUGUAGCGGUGAAAUGCGCAGAUAUCAGGAGGAACACCGGUGGCGAAGGCGGGUCUCUGGGCAGUAACUGACGCUGAGGAGCGAAAGCGUGGGGAGCGAACAGG
rnacentral:rRNA from 1 species